GCCGGGAUGGCGAAACUGGCAAACGCAGCAGACUUAAAAUCUGCCGGCCGCGAGGUCUUGUGGGUUCGAUCCCCACUCCCGGCACCA
rnacentral:tRNA from 1 species